CCCACUCGCAAGGAUAGUAUUCUUUGAACAACACGACACACGGAUACAAUAUAGCUUUAAAAGCAACAUCAGCGGGAACCAGCAACUGCAACG